CUCCCCAGACUUGACACAAGCUGCUGACCGACCUGAGCCCAAACUAGCACUGGUGCUGUACAGGGGUCAGUGUUCAGGGCUUGGUUCUUCCCAACUUACACUGUGCACGGUGUCCUUCCUGCUCCUGGGCCCUGCUGCAAUGCAGGUCACCACCAAGCAUCUCUGCUGGCUGCAGCAGCCAGAGAAGACCCAGUGCCUCCAGUGAUCUUGCUCUAGAGCUCCUUUUCCUGCACCCAUGUGGAAUGGCACGAGAAAGAAGAUAGAAGAGCAGCAGAAGAGCCUUGUCAGUUGGAGAUCCCUAAUUGGGGAUGUCUGUGUUAUACUACCUUAUGUUACAGUCUCUGGAGCCUGAUGCAACUUUUUCUACGUACUACAAAAUCCAGCUGAUAAUCAGUCUGAGGUCAUUUUCUUAAUUCACCACUGAUUAAUGAGCAAUCCAGCUGUUGCUAAAUUUCCCCAGUAGAGCACUUUGUUAGGUCAAGGAGAGGGAAAAAAAUGAAAAAGGAAAAG